AUUGAACGCUGGCGGCAGGCCUAACACAUGCAAGUCGAACGAGUGGCGGACGGGUGAGUAAUGUCUGGGAAACUGCCUGAUGGAGGGGGAUAAAUACUGGAAACGGUAGCUAAUACCGCAUACCAUCGGAUGAGCCCAGAUGGGAUUAGCUAGUAGGGGGGGUAACGGGUCACCUAGGCGACGAUCCCUAGCUGGGCUGAGAGGAGGACCAGCCACACUGGAACUGAGACACGGCCCAGACUCCGACGUGAGGCAGCAGUGGGGAAUAUUGCACAAUGGGCGCAAGCCUGAUGCAGCCAUGCCGCGUGUAUGAAGAAGGCCUUCGGGUUGUAAAGUACUUUCAGCCGGGAGGCGUUACCCGCAGAAGAAGCACCGGCUAACUCCGUGCCAGCCGCCGCGGUAAUAC
rnacentral:rRNA from 1 species